rnacentral:lncRNA from 1 species
UUGCUCUUCUAAUUUUUGAUGGAUUAUUGGCUUAAAGUAAUGGAUAAUUCUUCAAUUGAUAAGGUCUUGAUUAAGUUUCCAUAGUCGAGUACUUUGAAAGGAAAUGUAUAUUUUGAUAAUCAAGCAAGAAAGAAGGAAGCAAGGGGGCAACUUUGGCGUUGCAAUCUCGGGAGAUGGAUGUCACAACCCGAAGUCCUCUGACUCUUAGUGUCACGACAUCAGCCUUUCCACCAUGUUAAGGAGGCACCUCGGGAAGCUUCAAGGUCGCGACACUGGACCUGUGUUAUCAUGACAUAGAUCUCCCUGAUCUGCAAGGUCACAACACCGGUUCUAUGGUUUCAAUAUCGCCCCUAAAGAUGGACCAAAGAGACUGAGCAAGGUCAUGACAUCGAACCUGUGAU